rnacentral:lncRNA from 1 species
UUUGAAAAGGUGUAGACUACUGAAUGAACACGGUAGAGGGCCCUACGAUUUACAAAUUUGCUCAUGUAGUGGUUCGUUACAACCGGUUACAACUAACAAUUCUCAACAUAUCGGAGUAAGUGCUUAUUAUUAUCCCCGACACCCAGAGCAGCCCCAAGUUAAUUCACAAAUUGACGUCGAUUAAUUUUUUAAAUUAAUUUACACUUUGCUAAUCAAAAUGUGCGAAAAAAAAUGUUUCACUGAAGCAGUCAACCGAUAAUCCUUUACUAGUCCAGCAUUGAAAUAUGUUUUGACAUGAAUCCAUUUUAAAAUCUUUAAUCAAUCCUGGUUUUCCGUAGCUAAUUGAACCUCUAACCCCUUUUAACUUCUUAGUUCUUCGUGACGUCACCGUCGUUUCUUCAGAUUUAUGUCCGACUUUGGUAAGUUGUGUCUUGGGGCAUGAUUUGGCGUGUAUAUAACGUUAGCACUUUGAAAAUAGUCAGAGCAUUCAGACGCUCGUCUAGAGCCAUUUCGAGUCUGUCUAUAUGUUUUUGCAGUUUUGUGGCGCAGCCUUAAAAGCUACUUUUUUGUGAUUCUUCGAGGCCAACUGGGUGUUACUUAAAAAACGACUUCUGCCCUUUGCAGUCGACUUGCAAGUACGUCAGCCGCCGACGAUUCGAGUUCCUUUUAAGGCUAGAAUACACUGCAAACGCCAUACAUGGACCUGGGGGCCUUACAAAUGCUGGCUUACUCACUUUUCCAGAAACGAGUGAAAUAGUAACACCCGCACCAUAUUUCUUGCUAAAUUUACGAACAUCCUUUCCGUCUUCUGUGUCAGCUGUGAGGUGCGAGAAAAUUCAUCAUUUUGGUGCGAAUUGAAAAAAGAUGCAUGCAUCCAGUAGAAUUUCUACAUAUCGAUAUUUAUGUAGAUGCCCAUUCGCCGUAGAGGGCAGGGCCUCUAUGCUUGAGCUUGAGCCCGCUAGAGUAACGCCGUUUGUACUCGUUUGGUUCUCCGGUACCGACUGAGAGCAGACCACUCUAGAGUUGCAAUCUGAACGGUUUUAUCGAAAAUAGGUGUUUUUUUUCCCCGAAAAACUAGGCUAUUCUUUCUCUUCUCGUAAUAGGUUUUUGUAAAUUGCUGGACAUUUUAGGCCGAAGAAAUUCUUGUUGAUACGACCCGUGAACGACGACUUGUGAAUUGUGUAGCACGACUUCACCGUCAUCCCUUUUUUAAAAAAGUUGGCAGAUCUAUAGGUGAAAUAGGAACUUGGAUCGUUUCCUUUGCAAAUUCUCAUCAAGAGCUGCCUGGAUAUUUUACCAUUUGUGGUAUUGACUACAGCGUUUUAGUUUACAAAGAUAGUUAAAGGCUCGAGUGUAUAUCUCGAUUCAGCUACCUUUCCCCAACCAUUGAUGCGCAUCGUCGCUCAUUGUUGUUUGUAGUAGAUAGUUUGGCCGUCUCAUUGGCGACAAAAAUGAGAAAGAUCUACCGUAUUUUUCAACCGCAAUCAUCCCAAAAACAAAGCAGGAGUACUGUUAUGUGUUUGAAGUGGAGCGGCACAUCUUGAGUAGCGGCUACACCCGAUUCCGUCCUGGCUGACAGCUGAUGGGUUGUUUUAAUUUUCGUCCGUCAUUUCAGCUUUUUUGUUUCACAUUUGUUUUUUUUAAGGCGCUUCUUGAUGAGACGUAAAAUAGGAAACACGGAAGAAGCAGCUGAUCUGGGGCGAAUAGAGAAGCGCUCUCCAGGUGUUAAACUCACUUACAUCAAGGAAUAUAUAAGUAGUAGCCAAAGGGAGCCGCAACGCAUUGAAAGACACGCCCUACAUCAGACUACACAAGGAGAAUGCUUUGCGCUUUUGUAGACAAAACAGAUUGACAAUGUAUGAUUAAGAAAAUGAUUUCACAAAGCUGAAAAAUGGAAACGUCUCGUCAGUGGUAUAAUUUACUAGUUGACCUGUUCACCUAAGAGAAUGAAUGAGUGGUAGAAUAUAAGAGGACGGUAAUUAGAGGGAGUGAAGGAGGGAGAAGGAGAGUGUAAUGUUUCACUAUAUUUAACUGAUCAGCUUAUUUAAUUGCAAGCAUUCAGACUGCUACUGAUUGAAAACGAAAAAGUCAGUUAGGUUCGUAACUUUCAAGGAUGUUUUCUGAAGUAUGAAGUCCAAUAAAUUAAUUAGCAAUCCAAACGAAAUUUAGCUUAUAAAAGCUAUUCAAAUUUUUUAAUCGAUUUGUUUUUGGUUAACUAUUGGUAUUUUAAAUCGAUAAUAGCGCGCGGAAAAUAGGAACCGUUCAAGAUAGCUUCCUACGGUGGUGACGAAUACCAGUCAUUUGAGCAAUUGGUUUUUUUUUUAAUUUCUCGUUACGUAACAAGUGAAAGAUCUCGUGAGCAAUUACCCUCUUCUUAAUUAUUUUUCUUAUCUAUUUUUGAAUAGCUUGUGUGAUACAACACGGCAUCUAGCGAAUUAAAUGAAAACUAAACAUUUUGCCUUGAGGCAAAGCGAAGAAAAAAAGGUGGUUACAAAACAAAAUGUAAAGUUUUGUGAAAGCGGUAAAAAGAUCGGUUUUAAUUUGGUUUUAAUUUGUCGAAUUGUCCGUUUCCUUUGCUACAACUAACAGAGACUAACACAUUUCUAUAACUGAUUUCCGAUUCCUGAGGAGAAGACUUGCACAUUUUAAUAGUUAAAAUUGUUUCCUUAAAUUCGAUUUGGGGGUUUGCUCGCUUAUAAAUUCAGCGUUGGUGUCCAAUGUCCGCCGACACACACACACAAAUAUUUUAUACGAAACAAAUUAUGUCUAGCACAGAUGUUGAUUCCUGGAACUUUGUCCUAUUUUGAAUACAAUUUAUUAUUCCGUUUGAAUAAAAGAUUGUUGAAAGUCAUUUUGUUUUUAAAGUUACAGUUACUUACGGAAUACAGCUGUUAUAGCCAGACUGGAUAACUCGUAUCCAUUACAUUCUGCGAUACAA